rnacentral:rRNA from 1 species
AUGGAUCACGACCUGCUCCUCCUCCUCCUCGCCUCCCUCGCCGCCGUCGCCGCCGCCGCCGUCUGGCACCUCCGCGGGGCCAAGAGCCCGAAGCUGCCGCUGCCGCCGGGGCCCAGGGGGUGGCCGGUGCUGGGCAACCUGCCGCAGCUGGGCGACAAGCCGCACCACACAAUGGCGGCCCUCGCGCGCCUCCACGGCCCGCUCUUCCGCCUCCGCUUCGGCAGCGCCGAGGUCGUCGUCGCCGCCUCCGCCAAGGUCGCCGCCGCCUUCCUCCGCGGCCACGACGCCAACUUCAGCGACCGCCCGCCCAACUCGGGCGCCGAGCACGUCGCCUACAACUACCAGGACCUCGUCUUCGCGCCCUACGGCGCCCGCUGGCGCGCCCUCCGCAAGCUCUGCGCGCUCCACCUCUUCUCCGCCCGCGCCCUCGACGCACUCCGCACCGUCCGCCAGGACGAGACACGCCUCAUGGUCACCCGCCUGCUCUCCUCCUCCUCGGGCUCGGUCUCGCCCGCGGGCCUGGCCGUCGGGCAGGAGGCCAACGUGUGCGCCACCAACGCGCUCGCCCGGGCCGCCGUUGGGCGCCGCGUCUUCGGCGACGGCGUCGGCGAGGGCGCCAGGGAGUUCAAGGACAUGGUCGCCGAGCUCAUGCAGCUCGCCGGCGUCUUCAACAUCGGCGACUUUGUGCCGGCGCUCCGCUGGCUCGACCCGCAGGGCGUCGUCGCCAAGAUGAAGCGCCUCCACCGCCGCUACGACCGCAUGAUGGACGGCUUCAUCAGCGAGAGGGGCGACAGGGCUGACGGCGACGGGAAUGACCUGCUGAGCGUCAUGCUGGGGAUGAUGCGGCAGUCGCCGCCCGCCGCCGGCGAGGAGGAUGGGAUCAAGUUCAACGAGACUGACAUCAAGGCUCUCCUCUUGAAUCUGUUCACCGCUGGGACGGACACGACAUCAAGCACGGUGGAAUGGGCACUGGCGGAGCUGAUACGACACCCAAACGUCCUCAAGAAGCUCCAACACGAGCUCGACGACGUUGUCGGAAAUGGCCGCCUCGUCACCGAAUCCGACCUGCCACAACUCACCAUCCUCGCCGCCGUCAUCAAGGAGACGUUCCGGUUGCACCCGUCGACGCCGCUCUCCCUUCCCCGGGUGACCGCCGAGGACUGCGAGGUGGACGGCUACCGCAUCCCCAAGGACACCACCCUGCUCGUCAAUGUGUGGGCCAUCGCCCGUGACCCGGCCUCAUGGGGGGAUGACGUCCUAGAGUUCAGGCCCGUCCGCUUCCUGGCGGGCGGGUCGCACGAGACCGUGGAUGUCAAGGGGGGCGACUAUGAGCUCAUUCCAUUCGGGGCGGGGCGAAGGAUAUGCGCGGGCCUCAGCUGGGGCCUCCGGAUGGUCACACUCAUGACCGCCACGCUCGUGCACGCGUUCGACUGGACCUUGGUUGAUGGCAUGACACCUGAAAAGCUCGACAUGGAGGAGGCCUAUGGUCUCACCUUGCAGCGGGCCGUGCCGCUAAUGGUUCAGCCCGUGCCGAGGUUACUGCCAUCGGCGUACACAGUGUGA